AUAGAGGAAGUAAAAGUCGUAACAAGGUCUCCGUAGGUGAACCUGCGGAGGGAUCAUUACACAAAUAUGAAGGCGGGCUGGAAUCUCUCGGGGUUACAGCCUUGCUGAAUUAUUCACCCUUGUCUUUUGCGUACUUCUUGUUUCCUUGGUGGGUUCGCCCACCACUAGGACAAACAUAAACCUUUUGUAAUUGCAAUCAGCGUCAGUAACAAAUUAAUAAUUACAACUUUCAACAACGGAUCUCUUGGUUCUGGCAUCGAUGAAGAACGCAGCGAAAUGCGAUAAGUAGUGUGAAUUGCAGAAUUCAGUGAAUCAUCGAAUCUUUGAACGCACAUUGCGCCCUUUGGUAUUCCAAAGGGCAUGCCUGUUCGAGCGUCAUUUGUACCCUCAAGCUUUGCUUGGUGUUGGGCGUCUUGUCUCUAGCUUUGCUGGAGACUCGCCUUAAAGUAAUUGGCAGCCGGCCUACUGGUUUUCGGAGCGCAGCACAAGUCGCACUCUCUAUCAGCAAAGGUCUAGCAUCCAUUAAGCCUUUUUUCAACUUUUGACCUCGGAUCAGGUAGGGAUACCCGCUGAACUUAAGCAUAUCAAUAAGCGG
rnacentral:rRNA from 1 species